AGUUCCUCCUCGCUGUUGAAUCCAACGCCCCGCAGUUUUGCGUUGUCUUUUGACACCAAUGCGGAAUAGAGAAGAAAGUGAGAAAAGGGCACUACAGGAUUAAGCAUAUGUUCUGAGUUGUUUGUUCAUGCUCAUGUCUUUCUAAGGUGAUUGUUGUGGUCAGAAAAUUCUAUUUUUGUUAGUGAUUUUUUUAGUCUAGACACUUAAGAGAGAUUUGCUGCCAUGGGCAAAUGAAUUCCUUGGUUGUACUAACAUUCAUAUGAUUGGUCCUUUUGAACCAUUUGGUGGCUAUUGCGAAUACUGCUUAGUUUCAGAAUUUGCACUUAAUUAGAGUGUGUUUGGAAACUUUAAUGAGAUGGAAUUGAAUUGAAUUCUAGA